GACGAACGCUGGCGGCGUGCUUAACACGUGCAAGUCGAACGGAAAGGCCCCUUUGGGGGUACUCGAGUGGCGAACGGGUGAGUAACACGUGAGUAACCUGCCCUUGACUUCGGGAUAACUUCAGGAAACUGGGGCUAAUACCGGAUAGGAAUCCUUGCUGCAUGGUGGGGGUUGGAAAGCUUCGGCGGUUUUGGAUGGACUCGCGGCUUAUCAGCUUGUUGGUGGGGUAGUGGCUUACCAAGGCUUUGACGGGUAGCCGGCCUGAGAGGGCGACCGGCCACAGUGGGACUGAGAUACGGCCCAGACUCCUACGGGAGGCAGCAGUGGGGAAUAUUGCACAAUGGGCGGAAGCCUGAUGCAGCAACGCCGCGUGCGGGAUGACGGCCUUCGGGUUGUAAACCGCUUUCAGCAGGGGCGAAGCUUGUGGUGACGGUACCUGCAGAAGAAGCACCGGCUAACUACGUG
rnacentral:rRNA from 1 species